GAUGAACGCUGGCGGCGUGCUUAACACAUGCAAGUCGAACGAAGUGGAGCACGGGUGAGUAAUACGUGGGUAACCUGCCCUCCUUUUUGGGAUAAGCCUUGGAAACGGGGUCUAAUACUGAAUAAAGGGGGAGGGGCUCGCGGCCUAUCAGCUUGUUGGUGGGGUUAGGGACUACCAAGGCGGUGACGGGUAGACGGCCUGAGAGGGUGACGGGCCACAGUAGGACAGAGAUAAGGCCCAUACUCCUACGGGGGGCAGCAGUGUGGGUGAUUGCACAAUGGGCGAAAGCCUGAUGCAGCAACGCCGCGUGGGGGAUGAAGGCUUUCGGGUUGUAAACCUCUUUCGCUAUCGACCGGUUAGGGGGAGAAGAAGCGCCGGCUAACUACGUGCCAGCAGCCGCGGUAAUAC
rnacentral:rRNA from 1 species